AGCCUCAGGGAUUUUAUCUGAGGUUAAACCUGCCCAAUGUUAAUUUUAUCAAUGGCCGCGGUACUUUGACCGUGCUAAGGUAGCGCAAUCAAUUGGCUUUUAAUUGAAGCCAUGUAUGAAUGGAAUCACGGGGUUAAGCUGUCUCCUAGCUACUUUAUUGAAAUUACUAUUUAGGUGAAAAAGCCUAAAAAAAGAAAAAAGACGAGAAGACCCUUAGAGUUUUUCUAAAAUUAAGAGUAUAUUCUUAAAACAGUUUAGUUGGGGCAACAUAGGAACAAUAAUUAUAACCUCCUAAAAAAUACUCACCGAUAUUAAUAAAUAUGAAUAAACUACCUUAGGGAUAACAGCAUAAUUUUAUAAAUAAGUUUGUGACCUCGAUGUUGGACUAGGAAACUAAAAGGCUAGCCGCCUUUUAGGAAAGUUCUGUUCGAACUAUUAUUCCU
rnacentral:rRNA from 1 species